AGAUCUUUAUUCAUGCCUUAUGUGGUCACCCAACCCAAAAACCAUGAGAAUUGUAGGGCUUAUCGGAAGAAGGACAAUAGUUAUUCUAAUAAAUACCGGGAGCACCCAUAAUUUCAUUGACCUAUCGAUCAUACAGGGUGCUCGUCUAUCCU
rnacentral:sRNA from 1 species